rnacentral:rRNA from 1 species
UGGGGAAUUUUGGACAAUGGGCGAAAGCCUGAUCCAGCAAUGCCGCGUGUGUGAAGAAGGCCUUCGGGUUGUAAAGCACUUUUGUCCGGAAAGAAAUCCUUGGCUCUAAUACAGUCGGGGGAUGACGGUACCGGAAGAAUAAGCACCGGCUAACUACGUGCCAGCAGCCGCGGUAAUACGUAGGGUGCAAGCGUUAAUCGGAAUUACUGGGCGUAAAGCGUGCGCAGGCGGUUUGCUAAGACCGAUGUGAAAUCCCCGGGCUCAACCUGGGAACUGCAUUGGUGACUGGCAGGCUAGAGUAUGGCAGAGGGGGGUAGAAUUCCACGUGUAGCAGUGAAAUGCGUAGAGAUGUGGAGGAAUACCGAUGGCGAAGGCAGCCCCCUGGGCCAAUACUGACGCUCAUGCACGAAAGCGUGGGGAGCAAAACAGGAUUAGAUACCCUGGUAGUCCACGCCCUAAACGAUGUCAACUAGUUGUUGGGGAUUCAUUCCUUAGUAACGUAGCUAAC